rnacentral:rRNA from 1 species
AGAGCGAACGCUGGCGGCAGGCCUAACACAUGCAAGUCGAGCGCCCGUAGCAAUACGGGAGCGGCAGACGGGAUAGUAACACGUGGGAACGCGCCCUUCGGUUCGGAAUAACUCAGGGAAACUUGAGCUAAUACCGGAUACGCCCUUACGGGGAAAGAUUUAUUGCCGAAGGAACGGCCCGCGUCCGAUUAGCUAGUUGGUGAGGUAAUGGCUCACCAAGGCGACGAUCGGUAGCUGGUCUGAGAGGAUGACCAGCAUCACUGGGACUGAGACACGGCCCAGACUCCUACGGGAGGCAGCAGUGGGAAUAUUGGACAAUGGGCGCAAGCCUGAUCCAGCCAUGCCGCGUGGAUGAUGAAGGCCUUAGGGUUGUAAAGUCCUUUUAACGGGGAAGAUAAUGACGGUACCCGUAGAAUAAGCCCCGGCUAACUUCGUGCCAGCAGCCGC